GCUCCCCCUGCUGUAGACACAGGCUGGGGAGGGGGAGGCCGCCUGGCGAAUAAUCUUGUUAAUGGUAAUCAUCACCCUGAUGCUCGUUAAUAUGAUAACACUGGGCUCCCAGCCGCUGCCUGGCUCAGUGCUGCUCCGCGCGCCUCCUCUCCGCCUGGCAGGGGCUCCGUAAACACUCAUUACGCUCCGUCCCCCGGGGAGGCCGCCAGGAGAAGCCGCUAUUCCGGGCACACAGACCAACUCCGGGCCUCCGGCUCUGCUGGUAACCGGCAUCCCCACACUCGCUCCCGCACGUGCGCGUGCGCACACCCUCGCAGUCACGGACACACUCAUCCACCCUGUCACGCACUCCGAGGGCACACGCUCACACACUCAGACAUGCACACGCAUGGGGGCCGCACGCGUAGGCGCGCACACACACACCGGGGACAUACACAUUCACACGCACGCAGGCGCGCGCACACUCACGCACUGGGGACACACACACACACACACACGCAGUCACACACAGCUGUGCAGCACUUCCCAGUCUCCUCGCUGACCACGGCUAAUUGCUCACAGUGAUGGAGGCUUACUGUCCUGCCCAUCUUGCAGCUGAGGAAACGGAGGCACCCCGGGGGUUAUAGUCACCAGCCCAUCAAGCGGGGACCGUUGGGUCCUGAGUGAAGGGGAGCCUGCAUGUGACCCUAACCCGCCUCAGGGGAUAUCAGCUCAUUCAGUCCCCAUGGCAGUUCUGGGUCCUAUUGUCCCCAUCGCACUCAUGAGGAAAUGGGCUCAGAGAAGUGAUAUCAUCUGCCUAGGAACACACAGCCAGGAUCCAUGCGCUACCUGACUUCAGAGCCUUCCCCCUCCCCUUAAAGGGGAAGAAACUGGGGCCCCGGGAGAUUAAACCACCUCGGGGAUCGACACUGAGAGCCAGGGCCAGCUCAAAGGCCUGCAGUCCUGGGCACCCGCCUCCCGCCCUCCCCCCAACAAUGACCCUCUUACUCAGAGACUUUCUUUUGGAGCCAGAACCAGCCGGCUGGGCCGCAGGGGGAUUCAGCAUCACCGUGUUUCAGCCUCCCCCUCCAGCCCCAGGGUUCCUCCAGGCCGCUGCAAUUCUGUGUUGCCAGCCCUGGCUGCUCGUCCCUGGGCCAGUCGCAUCCCAUCACCUCUCUGGGCCUGAGCUUCCUCAAGACAAAGACCACAGCUGACACUCGGGGGCGUUCAUGACAUCCCAGGAUUGUUCUAUGAGCUUCCAUGUAAGGGUUCACUUUACCCUCAUUCUUGCCCUGAAAGGAAGGUAGGAAAAAAGUCUAUGGCUUUUAAGAUUCUGUUAUUCUACGGGAUUCUAUGAUUCCCACGGGGUCUGUUGUGAAAGAUCCUAAAAAGACUCCAUUAUUCUGGGAGACUCAGGUGCUGGAAGGUUUCAUCCACUGGCCUGAGGAUCACAGAGUUAAAGGAUGUCAUGAAUUGGUGAUUCGUGGAGCCCCACGAGCCUCAAGGGCAAGAGGCACUUUGUUAGCCCUCAGCCAGCCUCGAAGGCCACCGUGUGUCCACCCCCUUACCCCGCCCCCUCCCUCAGCUAUGACAUCGGAGCCACAGCCAAGGCAGAACAGCCUGUCUCUAUGACAUGGCUCUGAGGCCAGGGCCAGCGAGGACUGUGGGGGCCGCCGGAGUGCGGGGCGGAUCACUUGCACACAAAGGGCUCCAUGGACCCGCCUCCGCUGCCCUGGCCGAGCCUCACACACAAUGGAAGGACCUUUCGAGGCCGCACCGAGCCUGCCCCCUCUCUCAGCCAGAGACACCCAGAAAUGCCGCUGAUUCAGUCCCAGAGCAGGCCGCCUCCCUGCUCAGAAGGGCCCCUGCCAGGAGGCGGGGAGGACAGAGAAGAGAAAAGCAGGGAACUCCUACACAGCCUUCAAAACUCAAAUAUUUUCUUCUGGAAGCCCCAAAGUUAAUUGUCCCCUCCUCUGUACUCCCAGAGGCUUGGUGCAUAUCCAUAUCAGCAGGCGGCAUUGAACUCUGACUUGGCGUGUGCCCGUCUCACACAGAAGCUAGCUACCUUUGUCUGGGCCGGUGAGAACAGGCGCGGAGAUUGCCAGAAGGGCGGGGGCUUUCUAAGAACCUCAGUUGAUCAACCACGGCUCCAACAGUGCUCAUAUUUGACAACUUCAGAUUUACUGGGAAGACUAAAAAUAAUGCCGAAGCUGUGCUUUUUAUAUCCCUCUUUCACUGAAGAAACCUGCCUGCCUUGUCUUUGGGAAGAGGGAGCCUUAAUUAUUAUAUAGACCAUAUGCCCAAUAACUGAUAGAAUAUGGUUAAAUAAAACAUAGCCUCUAACGGA